rnacentral:lncRNA from 1 species
ACAAUGUCUGGCACAGAGUAAGUGCUUAAAAAAAAUGUUUAUUACCAGGGAAGCACAAAGAACAGAAUCAAUACAGGUCAAGAAUGAGUGACAGGGGGAAGGUGAGGUAGACAUGGUUUGGUUUUUCACUGAUGAAAAGAGUUACAUCUUGGAGGAUGAAGAUUUUCGUGGGGAAAAACUCUUCUGCCUGUUCCUGGCUUCCUCUUCCCUCUCUCCUCACUCCAAAGCAAGGUGAGAAAAUUCAGGCUUUCUUCUCCCUCUCUCUCCUCAGGCCUCUGAAUGACAUUUGACAGGUUCUUCAGAGCCUGUCCUGAGCACUGCUGCCCAGGAAAAGACUCUCCUUUAAGUCACAAUUCCAGGCCUUUUUUCUCCAGCUGCUGUCCAGAUGGAAGUUUGGGGCUCAGGCCCAACUGCCUGCACCCACAUCGGCACUCUAAGAAUUCCAGGAGAUGUGUUUGGAAGCUAACGAAGAUCCCCCUUCUCUGAGCGGGGCACUGAGAACCCUGUUUGCAUGUCUCUUUGAUCCUUCCCAGUAGGCUACAGAUGACUGGACCAGGGUGGGCACCUGCCUCACUCUGAGCCAAUCAGAUCCUCUCCUGGGAGUUUGGGAUUGGAUCUGCCAAGCCCCAAGUUCUCUCUCUCCAUGUGGCUGAAACCAAGGGACACAAUACAGGAACUAUAGGUGGCUUGGUGCCUGAAAAGGCAGAGAUAUCCAGUCUGUGGAUACAGAAAGGCAGGGUGCAGAGAAUGGCUGCUUCAAGUUCCCUUGGCCCUCCAGGUCCCGCCUUCCUGAAGCUAAUGGUUUUCCUUCCCCUUAGUUCCAGGGAAUCCCUUCUGUCCUUGUAAUAAGCCCUUCUUUAUUACUGAAGCUGGUUUGAGUGGGUUUCUGUAUAUAAGCAAAGACCUAAUUAAGACAAGAGAGAAGCUGGGAGCCGGAGGUACGCAGAUGAACAAUCCUGAAAAAAUAAUCACUGUGCCUACGUCGGAGAAGCCCAGUGCAGUGGGAGACAGCGAGUAAGAGAUGUAGACUUUGCACAGAUGUGGCAGAGGGAGGGUGGGCUAACUCUGCCUGGGGAGGAGCGGAAGGGCUCCACAGGCUUCACAGCGAAGGUAGCAGCUGAGCCGAUUUUGAAGAAUUAAGGACAUUCUCCAUGGAGACAAAGUAGGGGUGGGGAGGCAUUACAAGCAAAGGGAACAGCAAGUGCAGAUGCACAGAGACCCAAAACAGCCUGGUGUCUUAGAGGGACUGGAGUUCAAAGUGUGGCGGGGAAGCAGGGAAGACAGGCAGUCAGGCGCACAUCAUAAAGGGCUUUGAAUACCAUGAUAAGAAGCCGAGGCCUUUUCCUGUCAGUGACAGGGAGCUAUUGAAGUAUUUUAAGUAGCAGGGGGUGACGGGGUCAGUUCUGUGUUUUAGAAAGAUUGUUCUGGGGCUGCUUGGAGAAAGGGCUGGAAAAGGCAGGCCUGGAGGCAAGGACCAGUUAGGAGGCUGCAGCACUCCUCAUCUAGUCCCUUCAUUCAUCUAACAGCUCACUGUGUACCUACUAUGUGCCGGGGUGAGGCAAAACGGAUUCCUGAGCCCACAGAGUUCACAGCCUAGCAUGAAAUAGACAUGAGGGAAAAGCGAUUUGAGUGUGCUGAAUGUUAUGAAGAAGUACAAGGUCCUCUGGAGCAGGGUGCUGUUUACUGUCUGGUUUUUAGGCUUCCCUGCGGAAAUGACGUUCGAGCUGGUAUCUAUCUGAAGGAUAAGUAGGAGUUAGCAGGGCCCCAAGAGGGGGCGUGCAUUCCAGGAUUGGGGACAACACGUGUGGAAGUCCUGCAGCUGAGGGAGAGUGGCAGAAGAAGACACAAAAAGGUAGGCAAGGACCAGAUCCCACAGGGCCUCGGAGACUGCGUCAGUGCAUCUGGCUUUCAUUCCAAGAAGGCUUGGAAGGGUCCUAAGCAGGGAAAUGACACAAUCCAACGUUUAUCCUAAGAAGACCAUGAAAGAAAGCGGGGCAAGAACAAAUGUCAGGAGACCAGGUAGGAAGCUGUCACAGUGGCCCAGGACCUCACAGGCACCACGGCGCCCCCUGCCCUGCCCUGCCCUGAAGCAGUUCCAGGAACGUCAGAUGGUAAGAGAAGAAACGACUUACAAACGUCAAGUCCAUUUUACAGAUGGAAAAUCUGAAGCUCAGAUAGGAGAAAAGACUUGCCCAAGUGCCUGGUAUGAAGAGAAAGACUUUAUAAUGUCCCUUUCAGACAGAAGGAAGUAGAGUGGCCGGCCCUGAAGCCCAAGUUAACCUGCUUCCCCUGCGCUCUCUACUUCUAGAGCAAUGGUUUUAAACUUGGGGCGAUUUUGCCCCCCAGGGAACAUUCGACCAUGUCUGGAGACAUUUUUGGUUUUCCCAACGAGGAGGUUGCUACUGGCGUCUCAUGAGAAGAGACCAGGGAUGCUGCUACACGCCUUCAAUGCACAGGACAGCCCCUGCGCCAGAGAAUUGUCAGGCCCGAAAUGUCAGCAGGUUUCUGAGGUUGAGAAACUCUGUUCUAGGGCCUGGCAUCUGCCUAUAUAAACUUCCAAAUAGACUCCUGGAGUCCUGGGUUCUUCUGCAGCCCGGGAGGAUACUGUAUGAAGUCUUUCCUAGGGUCGUGCCUGCCCCAACUUGUAUAUUUAACCUUGCUUAGGACUGGUCAGUUCCACUCUUGGGCUCCAGUGUUUUGAAUUCCACCCACUGACAGAGAGGACAGAAUAAUUAAUAUUUGCUGGAGGCAUGUAAAACCAGUAGUCUCCCUGCUGAGGGCAUGAAUUAAAAUGUAAAUGGGA